rnacentral:rRNA from 1 species
CUUACACAUGCAAGUCGAACGGCAGCACGGGUGCUUGCACCUGGUGGCGAGUGGCGAACGGGUGAGUAAUACAUCGGAACAUGUCCUGUAGUGGGGGAUAGCCCGGCGAAAGCCGGAUUAAUACCGCAUACGAUCUACGGAUGAAAGCGGGGGACCUUCGGGCCUCGCGCUAUAGGGUUGGCCGAUGGCUGAUUAGCUAGUUGGUGGGGUAAAGGCCUACCAAGGCGACGAUCAGUAGCUGGUCUGAGAGGACGACCAGCCACACUGGGACUGAGACACGGCCCAGACUCCUACGGGAGGCAGCAGUGGGGAAUUUUGGGCAAUGGGCGAAAGCCUGAUCCAGCAAUGCCGCGUGUGUGAAGAAGGCCUUCGGGUUGUAAAGCACUUUUGUCCGGAAAGAAAUCCUUGGCUCUAAUACAGCCGGGGGAUGACGGUACCGGAAGAAUAAGCACCGGCUAACUACGUGCCAGCAGCCGCGGUAAUACGUAGGGUGCAAGCGUUAAUCGGAAUUACUGGGCGUAAAGCGUGCGCAGGCGGUUUGCUAAGACCGAUGUGAAAUCCCCGGGCUCAACCUGGGAACUGCAUUGGUGACUGGCAGGCUAGAGUAU